GACGAACGCUGGCGGCGUGCCUAACACAUGCAAGCCGAGCGACGAAGCCCGGCCCUUGCCCCCAUCUGAAGAGCCGCGAACGGGCGACUAACGCGCGGGGCAUCCGCCUUUCAGCGGGGGACAACCUCUGGCCACGAACGCUAAUACCGCAUAACAACUUUAAACAUACGUUUUAAGUUUGAAAGAUGCCAUUGCCUCACUCAAACAUCAUCCCGCGCUGUAUUCGCUAGUUGGCGAGGGAAAGGCUCACCAAGGCGAUGAUACAUAGCCGACCUGAGAGGGUGAUCGGCCACAUUGGGACGGAGACACGGCCCAAACUCCUACGGGAGGCAGCAGGAGGGAAUCUUCGGCAAUGGACGAAAGUCUGACCGAGCAACGCCGCGGGAGUGAAGAAGGGUGUCGGAUCGUAAAACUCUGUUGGUAGAGAAGAACGUUGGUGAGAGUGGAAAGCUCAUCAAGUGACGGUAACUACCCAGAAAGGGACGGCUAACUACGUG
rnacentral:rRNA from 1 species